AACGAACGCUGGCGGCAGGCUUAACACAUGCAAGUCGAUCGCUGUCUUCGGACAGAGAGGCGCACGGGUGAGUAACACGUGGGAACAUGCCCUUAAGUACGGAAUAACACAUGGAAACGUGUGCUAAUACCGUAUACGCCCUACGGGGGAAAGAUUUAUCGCUUAAGGAUUGGCCCGCGUCCGAUUAGCUAGUUGGUGAGGUAAUGGCUCACCAAGGCGACGAUCGGUAGCUGGUUUGAGAGAGUGAUCAGCCACACUGGGACUGAGACACGGCCCAGACUCCUACGGGAGGCAGCAGUGGGGAAUAUUGGACAAUGGGCGAAAGCCUGAUCCAGCCAUGCCGCGUGAGCGAAGAAGGCCUUCGGGUUGUAAAGCUCUUUCAGAUGUGAAGAUGAUGACGGUAGCAUCAGAAGAAGCCCCGGCUAACUUCGUGCCAGCCGCCGCAGUAA
rnacentral:rRNA from 1 species